rnacentral:misc_RNA from 1 species
GAUGAAGAACGUAGCGAAAUGCGAUAAGUAGUGUGAAUUGCAGAAGUACCGUGAAUCAUCGAAUCUUUGAACGCAAAUUGCACUCUCUGGUAUUCCGGGGAGUAUGCCUGUUUGAGGGUCGCUUAACAAACCAUCGAUUUCGUUGCUUUUUUUUUAAAGAGUGAUGUUUAUCGGAUUUGAGCCGUCUUUUUUUUUAUAUUUAAAAGUGGCUUAAAAUUGAUUUUUUUGGUACGAUCGAAGCGUAUUUUUAUGAUCAAUUUUUGGUUAAAGAAACGCACACGUACCGUUAUUUAUAUGAUGUAAUACGUUUGACUAUUGGAUUUAGUUCAUUCGUAUACGAUAUCUUUCAAUAUUUGACCUCAAAUCAGGUAAGAACACCCGCUGAACUUAAGCAUAUCAAUAAGCGGAGGA